UCUAAUAUAUAUUUUAAUUUAUUGGCAAACGACUGGGUGAAAACAUUAACAAUCAUUAAAUACGUAUUUGGUGGGGAUUUUUAAUGAAAUUAUCGUCUUUCAUUCAAACUGAUUAGAACAUGAAUAUGGUGGGCCAAAACGAUAGGCAUGUGGUAAUAGAAACUAUAAAAGACUCUGUUAAGGGAAAAAUUUACCAUCAUAAGAAUUUGAUUGUUACACUUUGGAUUACUUAAAGCGAACGAAAAAUUAAUUAACAGAAGAAAAUGAAGUUCCUUUACUUCCUUCUAAGCAUUUUAUUGCUUUGCUUGGCCGCUAAUGCUGUUCCCUAUUUACCCACUGCAGCACCAACUCCACCCACCGAAGAUGCCGGUAAUAUUCCCCCCAGUGGUGGUGGCGGUUAUGUUGGUCCCCCAACUGAACCUCCUAUGCCAAACACCCCCAUAGUAAGCACUGUUGCUCCACUUUAUCCUUAGUUCCCAAUAAAAUAAAAUCUUGAAUUAAUUAUGAUGUACCAGUAUCAGCUUCAUUUCCUUGUUUGUUCAAUGUACCUAUCUAUCCACGACCGAUAACAAUAAUAAAAAGUUUCUAUUAUUCAAAGCAUUACCUUAACAGAACGCUCUUUGA